UGGGGAAUUUUGGACAAUGGGGGCAACCCUGAUCCAGCAAUGCCGCGUGUGUGAAGAAGGCCUUCGGGUUGUAAAGCACUUUUGUCCGGGAAGAAAUCCCCUGCCCUAAUACGGCGGGGGGAUGACGGUACCGGAAGAAUAAGCACCGGCUAACUACGUGCCAGCAGCCGCGGUAAUACGUAGGGUGCGAGCGUUAAUCGGAAUUACUGGGCGUAAAGCGUGCGCAGGCGGUGAUGUAAGACCGAUGUGGAAUCCCCGGGCUCAACCUGGGAACUGCAUUGGUGACUGCAUUGCUCGAGUAUGGCAGAGGGGGGUGGAAUUCCACGUGUAGCAGUGAAAUGCGUAGAGAUGUGGAGGAACACCGAUGGCGAAGGCAGCCCCCUGGGCCAAUACUGACGCUCAUGCACGAAAGCGUGGGGAGCAAACAGGAUUAGAUACCCUGGUAGUCCACGCCCUAAACGAUGUCAACUGGUUGUCGGGCCUUCAUUGGCUUGGUAACGUAGCUAACGCGUGAAGUUGACCGCCU
rnacentral:rRNA from 1 species